UACGUGAGGGUCCAAGCGUUGUCCGGAUUUAUUGGGCGUAAAGAGCUCGUAGGCGGUUCCGUAAGUCGGAUGUGAAAAACUCGGGGCUCAACCCCGAGACGCCAUCCGAUACUGCGGUGACUUGAGUCUGGUAGGGGAACACGGAAUUCCUGGUGUAGCGGUGAAAAUGCGCAGAUAUCAGGAAGAACACCGGUGGCGAAGGCGGGUCUCCUGGGCAGUAACUGACGCUGAGGAGCGAAAGCGUGGGGAGCAAACAGG
rnacentral:rRNA from 1 species